AAUUCAGGCUUCUACUCUCUUGUAUUAAAUUAUGGUGAAUAAAUUUUUUUUUAGAAACCAUCAAUGAUCGUAUAUUUUUUAAUUAUCUAUCAUGUCUUGUACGCCUUAUUUGAGAGAAUGAAAUCUGUGAUGAAAAAAGGGAUGGUGUUGCCGAGGAAGGUCGGGGUCCGCAUCGAUCCGCCGGCUGUCAUCCUUGUCUACGACGUUUGGGGCAAGAUGAGGAUGAGGACGAUGCCCGUCCGCAACGUCUGGGAUUCUACAAGCUCUGCUUUCAUCCUGGAGGAUCUCAAGUCACGCCACGAUGUCCUCAACUCCGUCCCAGAUUCGACGAUCCUCAAGAUGAUCGAGGUGUUGAAAAGAGUCAAAAAAGGAGACUCGCUCCAAGACGCCCUGAAGACAAUAGGCAGUGGAGAUUUCGACGAGAAAAACAAAGAAUUGACGCCGAACGUCACCAAAGAUAAAACCCUGGAGGAUCAGGGGACCAGGUCCAACGAUGAGGACACCGACUUCGAACUAGAGGAGGAACUACCUUUAGACGACCUAUCAGAUGAUUUCUGAAAUAUCUUUGGAAGGAUAAAACAUGUUUCCCAAGUGUUGUGGAUAAAUAACCUCUCCAGUUAAUCUUAACCGGAACUUGAAACCGGCCGUGAUGACGAAAGGCACAAAAUUUUGAAACGCACAUCGCAGAGGAGACUCGGGGUUUUCCUAGUGGUUCGGCCGAUUUGUACGACAAUGUAUCUCGUUUCCGUGUGUUUGUCUGCAGCCCUAUUAACGAUUAGACAAUAUAUUUCUUCGUUUUAAAAAAA
rnacentral:misc_RNA from 1 species